ACGAAUCUUGUCUUGUAGGUCGUGACUCGUGCCCAAUAUUCAGUGUUACUGCACAUCAAUAUUGCACUUGUCCCGGCCUACUGGAUAGGUUCUAAUCUCC